rnacentral:rRNA from 1 species
GAUGAACGCUGGCUACAGGCUUAACACAUGCAAGUCGAGGGGAAACGACGGGGAAGCUUGCUUCCCCGGGCGUCGACCGGCGCACGGGUGAGUAACGCGUAUCCAACCUUCCUCUGACUGAGGGAUAACCCGUCGAAAGUCGGCCUAAUACCUCAUGGCAUCGUCUGCGGGCAUCCAACGACGAUUAAAGAUUUCAUCGGUCAGAGAUGGGGAUGCGUCUGAUUAGCUUGUUGGCGGGGUAACGGCCCACCAAGGCGACGAUCAGUAGGGGUUCUGAGAGGAAGGUCCCCCACAUUGGAACUGAGACACGGUCCAAACUCCUACGGGAGGCAGCAGUGAGGAAUAUUGGUCAAUGGGCGAGAGCCUGAACCAGCCAAGUAGCGUGCAGGAUGACGGCCCUAUGGGUUGUAAACUGCUUUUAUGCGGGGAUAAAGUGAGGGACGUGUCCUUCAUUGCAGGUACCGCAUGAAUAAGGACCGGCUAAUUCCGUG